UCCUAUGGGUGAGCAAAGAAAGUGCUUUCUUGGAAUGGAAUGUACUCCUGGAGAAGACGCUGUGAA
rnacentral:pre_miRNA from 1 species